CCUACGGGAGGCAGCAGUGGGGAAUAUUGCACAAUGGGGGAAACCCUGAUGCAGCGACGCCGCGUGAGUGAAGAAGUAAUUCGUUACGUAAAGCUCUAUCAGCAGGGGAGCAACACUGACCUUACGGUCACCAGACGUUACCUGAGUAAGAAGCCCCGGCUAACUCCGUGCCAGCAGCCGCGGUAAUACGUAGGGGGCAAGCGUUAUCCGGAUUUACUGGAUGUAAAGGGAGCGUAGACGGUGCAGCAAGUCUGAUGUGAAAGGUCGGGGCCCAACCCCGGGACUGCAUUGGAAACUGUUGAACUGGAGUACAGGAGAGGUAAGCGGAAGUCCUAGUGUAGCGGUGAAAUGCGUAGAUAUCAGGAGGAACACCAGUGGCGAAGGCGGCUUACUGGACUGUAACUGACGUUGAGGCUCGAAAGCGUGGGGAGCAAACAGGAUUAGAUACCCUAGUAGUC
rnacentral:rRNA from 1 species